UAUGGUAGAGACGUGGCGUACGGCUCAGUAGCACGUGGCUAACCUACCCUUAGGACGAGGACAACCCCGGGAAACUGGGGCUAAUACUCGAUAGGUGAGGAGGCCUGGAAUGGUUCCUCGUCGAAAAGGCGUUGAAACCAUGCUUCUCGACGUCGCCCAAGGAUGGGGCCGCGCCCGAUCAGGUUGUUGGUGAGGCAGCGGCUCACCAAGCCUAUAACCGGUACGGGCCGUGAGAGCGGGAGCCCGGAGAUGGGCACUGAGACAAGGGCCCAGGCCCUACGGGGCGCAGCAGUCGCGAAAACUCCGCAAUGCGCGAAAGCGUGACGGGGCUACCCCGAGUGCCGUCCGCUGAGGAUGGCUUUUUCUUGGUGUAAUGAGCCGAGAGAAUAAGGAGAGGGCAAGUCUGGUGUCAGCCGCCGCGGUAAUACCAGCUCUCCGAGUGGUAGGGAUGAUUAUUGGGCUUAAAGCGUCCGUAGCCGGCUUGGCAAGUCUCCUGUUAAAUUCAGCGACCUAAUCGUUGAGCCGCGGGAGAUACUACUAGGCUAGGAGGCGGGAGAGGCCGACGGUAUUCUUGGGGUAGGGGUGAAAUCCUAUAAUCCCGGGAGGACCACCAGUGGCGAAGGCUGUCGGCUAGAACGCGCUCGACGGUGAGGGACGAAAGCUGGGGGAGCGAACCGGAUUAGAUACCCGGGUAGUCCC
rnacentral:rRNA from 1 species